rnacentral:rRNA from 1 species
AGGUAACCUGCCUGGUAGCGGGGGAUAACUAUUGGAAACGAUAGCUAAUACCGCAUAAGAACAUUUACUGCAUGGUAGAUGUUUAAAAGGUGCAAAUGCAUCACUACCAGAUGGACCUGCGUUGUAUUAGCUAGUAGGUGAGGUAACGGCUCACCUAGGCGACGAUACAUAGCCGACCUGAGAGGGUGAUCGGCCACACUGGGACUGAGACACGGCCCAGACUCCUACGGGAGGCAGCAGUAGGGAAUCUUCGGCAAUGGGGGGAACCCUGACCGAGCAACGCCGCGUGAGUGAAGAAGGUUUUCGGAUCGUAAAGCUCUGUUGUUAAGGAAGAACGAGUGUGAGAAUGGAAAGUUCAUACUGUGACGGUACUUAACCAGAAAGGGACGGCUAACUACGUGCCAGCAGCCGCGGUAAUACGUAGGUCCCGAGCGUUGUCCGGAUUUAUUGGGCGUAAAGCGAGCGCAGGCGGUUAGAUAAGUCUGAAGUUAAAGGCAGUGGCUCAACCAUUGUAGGCUUUGGAAACUGUUUAACUUGAGUGCAGAAGGGGAGAGUGGAAUUCCAUGU